rnacentral:rRNA from 1 species
AUGUUAGUGUGGAAUGUGCGCGGGCUCAAUAAUCGAGCUCGGCGUAUGGGUGUUCGGAGCCUCGUCAGUUCAACAGGCACUUCCAUUGUCUGUUUGCAGGAGACUAAGUUGGCAGUUGUAACCCCUACUAUAGUUAUGGAAGACUUUGGCGCGGAUUUUGAUGAUUAUUAUGCUUGCUGGCUACUGACACUCAUGGGGGAUUAUUAUAGUUGCGUGGAUAGGUCGCACAGUUAA